GACAAUUUGUCCGAGUGGUUAAGAGAAAUUAGAAAUCUUUUGGGCUCUGCCCGCGCAGGUUCGAAUCCUGCAGUUGUCG
rnacentral:tRNA from 1 species